rnacentral:rRNA from 1 species
GUCCACGCUGUAAACGAUGAGAACUAGCCGUUGGGGCUCAUAGUGGCUUUGGUGGCGCAGCUAACGCGAUAAGUUCUCCGCCUGGGGAGUACGGCCGCAAAGGUUAAAACUCAAAUGAAUUGACGGGGGCCCGCACAAGCGGUGGAGCAUGUUGUUUAAUUCGACGCAACGCGAAGAACCUUACCCACCUUUGACAUGCCUGGAACUGCCCAGAGAUGGGCGGGUGCCUUCGGGAACCAGGACACAGGUGCUGCAUGGCUGUCGU